rnacentral:rRNA from 1 species
UACGAAGGGUGCAAGCGUUACUCGGAAUUACUGGGCGUAAAGCGUGCGUAGGUGGUUUGUUAAGUCUGCUGUGAAAGCCCCGGGCUCAACCUGGGAAUGGCAGUGGAUACUGGCAAGCUAGAGUGCGGUAGAGGGGUGUGGAAUUCCCGGUGUAGCGGUGAAAUGCGUAGAGAUCGGGAGGAACACCAGUGGCGAAGGCAGCUCGCUGGGACGUUACUGACACUGAGGCGCGAAAGCGUGGGGAGCGAACAGG